rnacentral:rRNA from 1 species
ACUCCUGCGGGAGGCAGCAGUGGGGAAUUUUGGACAAUGGGCGAAAGCCUGAUCCAGCAAUGCCGCGUGAGUGAAGAAGGCCUUCGGGUUGUAAAGCUCUUUUGUCAGGGAAGAAACGGUGAAAGCUAAUAUCUUUUGCUAAUGACGGUACCUGAAGAAUAAGCACCGGCUAACUACGUGCCAGCAGCCGCGGUAAUACGUAGGGUGCAAGCGUUAAUCGGAAUUACUGGGCGUAAAGCGUGCGCAGGCGGUUUUGUAAGUCUGAUGUGAAAUCCCCGGGCUCAACCUGGGAAUUGCAUUGGAGACUGCAAGGCUAGAAUCUGGCAGAGGGGGGUAGAAUUCCACGUGUAGCAGUGAAAUGCGUAGAUAUGUGGAGGAACACCGAUGGCGAAGGCAGCCCCCUGGGUCAAGAUUGACGCUCAUGCACGAAAGCGUGGGGAGCAAACAGGAUUAGAAACCCUAGUAGUCCCAUGAU